rnacentral:rRNA from 1 species
GUGGGGAAUUUUGGACAAUGGGCGAAAGCCUGAUCCAGCCAUGCCGCGUGCAGGAUGAAGGCCUUCGGGUUGUAAACUGCUUUUGUACGGAACGAAAAGACUCCUUCUAAUAAAGGGGGUCCAUGACGGUACCGUAAGAAUAAGCACCGGCUAACUACGUGCCAGCAGCCGCGGUAAUACGUAGGGUGCAAGCGUUAAUCGGAAUUACUGGGCGUAAAGCGUGCGCAGGCGGUUAUAUAAGACAGAUGUGAAAUCCCCGGGCUCAACCUGGGAAGUGCAUUUGUGACUGUAUAGCUAGAGUACGGUAGAGGGGGAUGGAAUUCCGCGUGUAGCAGUGAAAUGCGUAGAUAUGCGGAGGAACACCGAUGGCGAAGGCAAUCCCCUGGACCUGUACUGACGCUCAUGCACGAAAGCGUGGGGAGCAAACAGGAUUAGAAACCCGGGUAGUCC